CGGGCCUUAUCUAGUAUUAUAUA
rnacentral:siRNA from 1 species